GAUGAACGCUAGCUACAGGCUUAACACAUGCAAGUCGAGGGGCAUCGGGAAAGUAGCUUGCUACUUUUGCCGGCGACCGGCGGAUGGGUGAGUAACGCGUACCCAACCUGCCCCCUUCCCGGGCACAGCCCUUGGAAACGAGGAUUAACGCCCGAUGGCGUCUGGAUGCCGCAUGGCAUUCCGACCAAAUGCGAAGGAAGGGGAUGGGGGUGCGUCCCAUUAGCUAGUUGGCGGGGUAACGGCCCACCAAGGCAUCGAUGGGUAGGGGUUCUGAGAGGAAGGUCCCCCACACUGGAACUGAGACACGGUCCAG
rnacentral:rRNA from 1 species